GACGAACGCUGGCGGCGCGCUUAACACAUGCAAGUCGAACGGAAAGGCCUGCUUUCCCUUGUGGAUUGCGGGUACUCGAGUGGCGAACGGGUGAGUAACACGUGAGUGAUCUGCCCCCAACUUGGGUAUAAGCCUGGGAAACUGGGUCUAAUUCCCGAUAGGACUGCAGGGUGGUGCCUGUGGUGGCAAACGAUUUUCUAGUGGUUGGGGAUGAGCUCGCGGCCUAUCAGCUUGUUGGUGGGGUAAUGGCCUACCAAGGCGGCGACGGGUAGCCGGCCUGAGAGGGUGGACAGCCACAUUGGGACUGAGAUACGGCCCAGACGCCUGCGAGAGGCAGCAGUGGGGAAUAUUGCACAAUGGGCGGAAGCCUGAUGCAGCGACGCCGCGUGGAGGAUGACGGCCUUCGGGUUGUAAACUCCUUUCGACCGCGAGGAAGCCACCUGGUUGGAAGGGUGGUGACGGUAGUGGUAGAAGAAGCACCGGCUAACUACGUG
rnacentral:rRNA from 1 species